AUCUUUCUAGUAUCAACGUUAGUACCCGUGGCUUCCAACCACAAAGUCUUGGUCCAAAUCCAAGGAAAGAUA
rnacentral:tRNA from 1 species